GCGGUCGUAGCUCAGUCGGUAGAGCACAACCUUGCCAAGGUUGGGGUCGCGUGUUCAAAUCACGUCGACCGCU
rnacentral:tRNA from 1 species